CAGUAGCCGCGGGAAUACAGAGGGUGCGAGCGUUAAUCGGAUUUACUGGGCGUAAAGCGUGCGUAGGCGGCUUCUUAAGUCGGAUGUGAAAUCCCUGAGCUUAACUUAGGAAUUGCAUUCGAUACUGGGAAGCUAGAGUAUGGGAGAGGAUGGUAGAAUUCCAGGUGUAGCGGUGAAAUGCGUAGAGAUCUGGAGGAAUACCGAUGGCGAAGGCAGCCAUCUGGCCUAAUACUGACGCUGAGGUACGAAAGCAUGGGGAGCAAACAGGAUUAGAUACCCCGGUAGUCCCUGUCUCUUAUAU
rnacentral:rRNA from 1 species